rnacentral:sRNA from 1 species
CGGAAAGCGAGGCAGACUAAGUACGCCACGUCUUGUGGCAACGUCUGCACUAGCACGUCCUAUGCG